GUGUUUGGGGCAGGUCCCUUACACCACAUGAUAGAUAUCAAAAGCAACCCAAGUGUUACUUCCACAACCAAGCACAUACAUCUUUCUUUUGCCCUUCAAGCUCUGGAUAGCCUCAUACAUUCUUGAAAUUUCACCAUCUUUCCUAUUUUGAGCCUUUUCCUUCUCGGCCAGCAAAGUAGUUAAUCUUUGCACCUCUUCGCCCACACUC
rnacentral:lncRNA from 1 species